rnacentral:rRNA from 1 species
CCUUUUGAUUAUAAUUUAAGGUCUAACCUGCCCAAUGAAAAUUUAAANGGCUGCGGUAUUUUGACCGUACAAAGGUAGCAUAAUCAUUAGUUUUUUAAUUGAAAGCUGGAAUGAAAGGUUGGAUGAAAAAAUUUCUGUCUCUCUUAAAAUUUAUUAGAAUUUUAUAUUUAAGUAAAAAAGCUUAAAUAGAAAUAAAAGACGAGAAGACCCUAUAGAGUUUAAUUGAUAUUAAUAUAAAAUUUUAAGUAUUAAAGAUUUUUUUAUAAAAUAUUAAUUUAAUUGGGGUGAUUAAAAAAUUUGAUAAACUUUUUUAUUAUUAAAACAUUAAUUUAUGAAUAUAUGAUCCUUAAAUUAAGAUUAAAAGAUAAAAUUACCUUAGGGAUAACAGCGUAAUUUUUUUAGAGAGUUCAAAUCGAAAAAAAAGUUUGCGACCUCGAUGUUGGAUUAAAAUGAAAUUUUGGUGUAGAAGCUAGAAUGUUUAGGUCUGUUCGACCUUUAAAAUUUUACUUGAUCU